GGCGUGACUCCAAUUGAACCGCAGGCUUCACCCUUGUGGUGCUCCCCCGCCAAUCCUUAAGUUCAUACUUGCGUACGUACUUCCCAGGCGGCAGACUUAACGGCUUCCCUGCGGCACUGCACUGGCCACAAGCCAAUGCAUCACCGAGUCUGCAUCGUUUACAGCUGGGACUACCCGGGUAUCUAAUCCGGUUUGCUCCCCCAGCUUUCAUCCCUCACCGUCGAACGUGUUCUGGUACACCGCCUUCGCCACAGGUGGUCUUCAAUAGAUCAAAGGAUUUUACCCCUUCCUAUCGAGUACCGUGUACCUCUCCCACUCCCUAGCUGCACAGUAUUUUCGGCGGCCUAUACGUUAAGCGCAUAGAUUUAACCGAAAACUUAUGCAACCGGCUACGGAUGCUUUAGGCCCAAUAAACCUCCUGACCACUCGAGGUGCUGGUUUUACCGCGGCGGCUGACACCAGAACUUGCCCACCCCUUAUUCACCAGUGAUUCUACAACUGACAAAAGACUCCUUUAGCAGGAGACACUCGGAUUAACCUUGUCGUGCUUUCGCCCAUUGCAAAGGUUUCUCGCCUGCUGCGCCCCAUAGGGCCUGGGUCGUGUCUCAGUACCAUCUCCGGGCCCUUCUCUCAGAG
rnacentral:rRNA from 1 species